rfam:Oryza barthii chromosome 7, whole genome shotgun sequence.
AUUAAGCGCAGUUAUAUGUUUCAGUGCCCAACUUUGACGGUCCAUCUUAUUUAAAAUUUUUUUAUGAUUAGUAUUUUUAUUGUUAUUAGAUGAUAAAACAUGAAUAUACUUUAUGCGUGAUGAUAAAACAUGAAUAAUACUUUAUUUAUGCGUGACUUAAUUUUUUUUAUAAAUUUUUUAAAAUAAGAUGAAUAGUUAAACGUUGGACACGGAAAUUGAUGGCUACACUUGAA